GCCACUAUAGUGGUUAUGACUCUCGGCUUGUAAUCGAGGGGGCUCGGGUUCGAGUCCCGAAUAAUAUCUUCGGGAACA